UAGAGUUUGAUCAUGGCUCAGGAAAGUCGUAACAAGGUAGCCGUAGGUCGUAACAAGGUAGCCGUAAGUCGUAACAAGGUAACCGUAGAGUUUGAUCAUGGCUCAGCCUUUGACUUAAAAAAUGGAGAAGUCGUAACAAGGUAACCGUAGGUCGUAACAAGGUAGCCGUAGAGUUUGAUCAUGGCUCAGCCUUAGACUUAAAAAAAUGGAGAAGUCGUAACAAGGUAACCGUAAGUCGUAACAAGGUAGCCGUAAGUCGUAACAAGGCAACCGUAAGUCGUAACAAGGUAGUCGUAGAGUUUGAUCAUGGCUCAGAUAAGUCGUAACAAGGUAACCA
rnacentral:rRNA from 1 species